AGUGAACGCUGGCGGUAGGCCUAACACAUGCAAGUCGAACGGCAGCACAGUAAGAGCUUGCUCUUACGGGUGGCGAGUGGUGGACGGGUGAGGAAUACAUCGGAAUCUACUUUUUCGUGGGGGAUAACGUAGGGAAACUUACGCUAAUACCGCAUACGACCUACGGGUGAAAGCAGGGGAUCUUCGGACCUUGCGCGAUUGAAUGAGCCGAUGUCGGAUUAGCUAGUUGGCGGGGUAAAGGCCCACCAAGGCGACGAUCCGUAGCUGGUCUGAGAGGAUGAUCAGCCACACUGGAACUGAGACACGGCCCAGACUCCUACGGGAGGCAGCAGUGGGGAAUAUUGGACAAUGGGCGCAAGCCUGAUCCAGCCAUACCGCGUGGGUGAAGAAGGCCUUCGGGUUGUAAAGCCCUUUUGUUGGGAAAGAAAAGCAGCAGGUUAAUACCCCGCUGUUCUGACGGUACCCAAAGAAUAAGCACCGGCUAACUUCGUG
rnacentral:rRNA from 1 species